CAAUUACAGGGCCUCUGCGUCCGAGCUCCGAAGGGAGCGCAAGGGAGGGUAGGGUAGGGUGCGGCGUGUACGGAGCAGCGCCCAUGGGGAUUUAGGCGGAGGCCUUAAAAUUCACAGGUUUGUUUUGUUUACAUGAAAAAGUUUACACUCCAAACAUAAACUCUGAAGGAAAGAAAAUAACUAUCUUCCCCCCAGGAGCCAAGCCCCAGCUGCUUGGGAUUACAGGGAAAGUGUAUUGUGGAAGGGAGGGAGGAGGGAGAGACUGUAACUGUAGGCCUAAGGGGGCAAGCGGCCGAGAAAAACUACCUUAACUGUGGUAUGGCUUAAAACUAAAACUUGAAGUGGGAACACUUGGCCGACCCAGGUAACCGGAGGCAUCGUUUGUCUUAGAAGUCGCUAGGACCCACCGGGUGUGCGGGUUCUACUCCUAGCUCUUCCUGUUGUAUGUAGCUGCUCCGUGGCCAUAGAUUGGUCGCUUUGUGCUUCUGGGCCUCAGUUUCCUUAUAAAAAGAAGGAGCUUUGUUGAAUUAUAUAUAAGAUUUCUUCUAACUCUCAAAUUCUAUGUCCAGAAGUUACUGACCUAAAAACGGUGAACUCUGCAGAAUAAUUACUUAAAAGAUUUUCUCGUCCUCAACUACCAGCUUACUUGGAAGUUCUAGUAGCGGAAAGCAUCUCCUCAAACCAGCUUUGCCACUGCAGAACACUGAUUGCAGGAGACAUUUUCAGAAAUACACACUUCUCCACCCCACCUCCCAACUUGGAAAUUCCCAGCGCACUUUAGUAAUAGAAAAGAUUCUAUUCUAUUAGAAUAGAAUACUAUGAAUUGCUAUAGAAUUACUAUGAACUAUAGAAUUACUAUGGUUCAGAACCCUAACUUUGUUUAAACCUGCACUUCCCAGUAUUAUUUGACCAGGUUCUUUAUUCUGUGGCAGCCUUUUUGAACCUCCUUCUACAGAUAGCUGUUAUUGGAACACUGUGCUUUUGUACUAACUGAAGUUUGCGGAGGAGUACAUCUGGAGCUGUGAGAGAGGAAAUGUACACUCUUUAUUAAGCCUACUGUGUGCCAGGCACUGGUACUGGGCAUUGGAAAUACAGUGGUGAGCAAGGUAGACAUGGUUACGCUUCACACAGAACUUAGAAUUUAGCAGUGAAGAGAGAGAAAUUUACAGAAAGUGGGACAAGUGCCAUGGCAAGGAAAAUACAAGACCUUAGCACAAAGUAAGGGCACCAAACACAUACAGGAUGGGCAGAAGGACUUUCCAAAGGAGGUAGCACUUAGGAGGAGAUCUGAAUUGUAGGAGGGGUGGCUUGAAGGGAGAGGAGACUGCAGUCGGAGGAACUGGAUACGUAAAGGAAGAGGAAAUAUGUGAAAAGAGGAAAUGAAAGAUGUUUUCUAUGGAUGGAACUCAAAUACAGAUGGGAGAUAAGUGAGAAAUUAAGUACAGAGGUAGUAGCUGUAGCUAAUAUUGACUAAUAUUUAUGUGUCAAAUAUGUCAGAAUGAAAGAUGUUUUCUGUGGAUAGAACUCAAAUACAAAUGGGAGUUGUUGAAAUUACCUCCAACAUUCAUGUCAGUGAUUCACCACUCUCCAUGAAGAGCUGAACUGGCACAAGUGGCAACGUAUGUUACUGAUGUAAUUGGCACAAAACUGUUUUCUUAUUAUCUCCUUCACUGAAGCCCUAUAGCCAAGGUCAUGAUUAGAAAGGAAAAUUUUGAGGUGGGCACACUGUAUUACUCUGAACAGCCUUAGCAAACUUCAAAAAGGAAUGGAGCCAAGAACUGCACGGGAGCCCAAGGCAGGGAAGUAGGUAACUUAGCUGAGUAAGGACCUCACAAUAUAGCUCUACUAUAGUCACUUUGACAUGGAUUUUGAGUACCGUUAUAUCAGCCAGGGUUCUUAUUCCAAACGAUAGAAACUGACUAGUUAACUUAAGCAGAAAAGGAAAGAUAUCAGCUAGCUCAGUGAAUCUAAGCAAAGCCUGCAUAAUAAGGGUCAGAAAAUAGAAAUGACCCAGGGAACCCAUAUCCAAGAUCCUGCACAAGCCCAAACCUGGUUAGGGCUGCUACUGCCAGUGACAUCAGUGCCCCUGGAAACUGGAUCCUGACAGCAGAAUGAAUUAACUUUCCCCACUUUAUUGUGUCACUUGCCUCAGAUCUAUUAAGUCAGUUGCCUCAGAUUCAAACUCUUGGGUAGAAGCAUUCAGUUGCCCAGACAAUCACGAAAAUUAAAGACUAAUGAAGCUGAAAUAAUAAUUUAACCAAAGACUGGUGAGGAACUAGCUGAUGUAAAGUACUUUAUUUAGAGUUCUGGUUAUAUUUCCCUGUCAUGUAAAAGUUUCAACUUUAGUAAAGAUGAUGAUCUGCCAAGAAAAAGUUUCAUAGUUUGUUUACUCUAAAACUGUGGGAUACUUGAGUGAUGAAUUUAUCAGUGCCUUUUGUCAUGAGUUCAAUUCUAAUACAUGCAGAGAUAAGAUUAUUUCAGAUCUAUUACAACAUUUUUAUUCUGUUGUAGUAAUAGUAAUGAUGCAUUUAGCAUAAUUUUAUUCAGUAUUUUUUUAGCAUCUACAGUUUCUAUGGAAACAGAUUUAACGCUGACCCCAAUUCUCUGAGCUUUUCUCAACAUGCAGUUGUUUUCAAAAUGAAAGACCCUCAGAUUAUAUUAUUCAUUUGAUUUUAUUCCAGUCAAAUUCUGCUACAACAUAUUUGUUUUUAACUAUGACAGGGUUUACAGGGAAACAAUGGGAUUAGAGUACAAUGCUCAAAAGCUUCAAUGACAUAUUAAAAAAAGAUAGGAACCAACAUGGUGAAACCCCGUCUCUACUAAAAAUACAAAAAUUAGCCGGGUGUGGUGGCAGGCACCUGCAAUCCCACCUACUCAGGAGGCUGAGGCAGGAGAAUCACUUAAACCUGGGAGGCAGAGGUUGCAGUUUGCUGAGAUCACUCCACUGCACUCCAGCUUGGGUGAUAGAGCAAGACUCAGUCUCAAAAAAAGAAGGGCCAGGAGCAGUGGCUCACACCUGUAAUCCCAGCACUUUGGGAGGCCAAGGCAGGUGGAUUACGAGGUCAGGAGAUCGAGACCAUCCUGGCUAACAUGGUGAAACCCCAUCUGUACUAAAAAAAAAUACAAAAAAUUAGCCUGGCGUGGUGGCGGGCGCCUGUAGUCCCAGCUACUCAGGAGGAGGCUGAGGCAGGAGAAUGGUGUGAACCCAGAAGGCCAAGCUUGCAGUGAGCUGAGAUCACGCCACUGCACUCCAGCCUGGGCGACAGAGGCAGACUCCGUCUCAAAAAAAAAAAAAAAAAAAAAAAAAAGAUAGGAACCUAAUAGAAACAGUAGCACAGUUUUACACGUUAAUUGGUUAAAAAAAUGCAUAAAUACUACAAUAAGUAUGACAUUUUACCUCUUAAAAGACCUGGAGUUUGCUGUGCAAGUGAGCUUCAGAAGAGUUGCAGUUUGUGAGUUGUGAAGUGACCGUAAAAGGGCAAUAAGAAAUCCAUGAAAAGUUGUAACACCAGAUGUUGAUGGAUGUUCACAACAUUUGCGGUGAACUGAGGUCACUAGAAAUGUUUUGAGAUGUAUGUGCUUGUGUAUUUUGUAUACUCCUGUGUGGUUCAGAUCAGCUGGAUGCAAUGUUCUGCAUUUACUUAGUGUUUUAUGUGGAUGAAAAUCACAUUAUGCUCAAAUUUUUCCCCAAUGUAUCAAUUACAUUAGAACAAUACUUGCAUUUUUAAAACAAGUAUUGUAGUAGAACAGACUGUACUUUUACUAGAAUAAUUAGAGACAGAGUCUCCCUCUGUCACCUAGGCUGGAGUGCAGUGGCGCAGUCAUAGCUCACUGUAACCGUGAAUUCCUGGGCUUGAGCGAUCCUCCUACCUCAGCCUCCCAGGUAGCUAAGACUAAAAGCACAUGCCAGGACCAGCUAAUUAAAACAAAGAAUUUGUAGAGAUGUGGUCUCACUAUGUUGCCCAGGCUGGCCCCAAAUUCCUGGCCUCAAGGAAUCUUCUCAAACUGCUGGGAUUACAGGCGUACGCCAUGAUGCCCCACCUCAAUAAUGUAUACUUUAAAAUAAUAUUAAAAUUUAAGGGGAAAAUAACUAAUGUUUUAACUUCAUAACACCAAAGAAAUAGUUUUAAAAUUAUAUUUGUUUUUAAAUUAGCACUGUUUUAUGUUUGGACUGUAUAUAUUUAAAUAUAUUAUUUAGUUAGGAUUAUAUCUCCAUUUCAAGGGUUUGGGAAUUAUAUGCCCUUUACCAGGAAAAUGGAAUAAUACCUGUAAUCCCAGCACUUUGGGAAGCUAAGGCAGGCGGAUCAUGAGGUCAGGAGAUCGAGACCAUCCUGGCUAACAUGGUGAAACCCCAUCUCUACUAAAAAUACAAAAAAUUAGCUGGGCGUGGUGGUGGGUGCCUGUAGUCCCAGCUACUCAGGAGGCUGAGGCAGGAGAAUGGCGUGAACCUGGGAGGCAGAGCUGGCAGUGAGCCGAGAUACGCACCACUGCACUCCAGCAUGGGUGACAGAGUGAGACUCUCUCUUAAAAAAAAAAGGAAAAGGAAAAAAGAAGAAAAUGGAAUAAUACUAUACUGGGGCUUUCAUUGGUUGAUUGAAGCCACUAUUGGAGGAUAAAAUUAGUUUUAACUAUAUGUGCAUACAAUGGAAUAUUAUUCAGCCAUAAAAGGGAAUAAAAUUCUAAUACAUGCUAUAAUAUGGAUGAACUUUGAAAACAUUCUGCUAAGUAAAAUAAUCCAGGCCCAAAAGACAAAUAUUGUAUGAUUUCCCUAUAUAUGAAGUACCUAGAAUAGACAAACUCAUAGAGACAGAAAGUAGAAUAGAGACUACUAGGGGCUAGAGGGAAGAGGGAAUAGUCAGUUUUUUAAUGAAUGCAGUUAGUAUUUGGGAUGAUGAAAGAGUUUUUGAAAUGAAUAGUGAUGAUGGUUGUACAAUAUUGUGAAUGUACUUAAUACACCUAAAUUGUAUACUUUAAAAUGGUUAAGAUGGUAAAUUGUAUGUUAUUUAUAUUUUAUCACAAUAAAAAGAAAUCAGUUUUAA